CAGCAGCCGCGGUAAUACGUAGGGUGCGAGCGUUAAUCGGAAUUACUGGGCGUAAAGCGUGCGCAGGCGGUUGUGUAAGACAGGUGUGAAAUCCCCGGGCUUAACCUGGGAACUGCGCUUGUGACUGCACAGCUAGAGUAUGGCAGAGGGGGGUGGAAUUCCACGUGUAGCAGUGAAAUGCGUAGAGAUGUGGAGGAACACCGAUGGCGAAGGCAGCCCCCUGGGCCAAUACUGACGCUCAUGCACGAAAGCGUGGGGAGCAAACAGGAUUAGAUACCCCCGUAGUCCCUGUCUCUUAUAA
rnacentral:rRNA from 1 species